rnacentral:rRNA from 1 species
GACGAACGCUGGCGGCGUGCUUAACACAUGCAAGUCGAACGGUGAAAGGGAGCUUGCUCCCUGGAUCAGUGGCGAACGGGUGAGUAACACGUGGGCAACCUGCCCCAGACUUCGGGAUAACGCUUCGAAAGAGGUGCUAAUACCGGAUACGAACUCCUUGGGCAUCCUUGGAGUUGGAAAGUUUUUCGGUCUGGGAUGGGCCCGCGGCCUAUCAGCUUGUUGGUGAGGUAACGGCUCACCAAGGCGACGACGGGUAGCCGGCCUGAGAGGGCGACCGGCCACACUGGGACUGAGACACGGCCCAGACUCCUACGGGAGGCAGCAGUGGGGAAUAUUGCGCAAUGGGCGAAAGCCUGACGCGGCAACGCCGCGUGAGGGAUGACGGCCUUCGGGUUGUAAACCUCUUUCAGCAGGGAAGAAGCGAAAGUGACGGUACCUGCAGAAGAAGCACCGGCUAACUACGUGCCAGCAGCCGCAGUAA